rnacentral:rRNA from 1 species
UACGUAGGUGGCGAGCGUUAUCCGGAAUUAUUGGGCGUAAAGAGCGCGCAGGUGGUUGAUUAAGUCUGAUGUGAAAGCCCACGGCUUAACCGUGGAGGGUCAUUGGAAACUGGUCGACUUGAGUGCAGAAGAGGGAAGUGGAAUUCCAUGUGUAGCGGUGAAAUGCGUAGAUAUUAGGAGGAACACCAGUGGCGAAGGCGGCUUUCUGGACAGUAACUGACGCUGAGGCGCGAAAGCGUGGGGAGCAAACAGGAUUAGAUACCCCCGUA